ACGAACGCUGGCGGCGUGCUUAACACAUGCAAGUCGAACGGGUCUGCCCUGUUUUUUGCGGGGUGGGUCAGUGGCGAACGGGUGAGUAACACGUGAGUAACCUGCCCCUCACUUCUGGAUAACCGCUUGAAAGGGUGGCUAAUACGGGGUGUUCUGGCUGUGCCGCAUGGUGUGGCUGGGAAAGAUUCACUUUUGUGGUGUUUUGGUGGGGGAUGGGCUCGCGGCCUAUCAGCUUGUUGGUGGGGUGAUGGCCUGCCAAGGCUUUGACGGGUAGCCGGCCUGGGAGGGUGGGCGGUCACACUGGGGCUGAGAUACGGCCCAGACUCCUGCGGGAGGCAGCAGUGGGGGGUAUUGCACAAUGGGCGGAAGCCUGAUGCAGCGACGUCGCGUGAGGGAUGGAGGCCUUCGGGUUGUGAACCUCUUUCGCCGGUGAAGAAGGUCCUGCUCUUUGUGGUGGGGUUGACGGUAGCCGGGUUAUGAAGCGCCGGCUAACUACGUG
rnacentral:rRNA from 1 species